rnacentral:rRNA from 1 species
GACAGAGGGUGCAAGCGUUGUUCGGAAUUACUGGGCGUAAAGCGCGUGUAGGCGGUUUGGUAAGUCGGAUGUGAAAGCCCCGGGCUCAACCCGGGAAGUGCACCCGAUACUACCAAGCUAGAGUAUCGGAGAGGUUGGUGGAAUUCUCGGUGUAGAGGUGAAAUUCGUAGAUAUGGGGAGGAACACCGGUGGCGAAGGCGGCCACCUGGACGGAUACUGACGCUGAGACGCGAAAGCGUGGGUAGCAAACAGG